CCUACGGGAGGCAGCAGUGAGGAAUAUUGGUCAAUGGGCGGAAGCCUGAACCAGCCAAGUAGCGUGCAGGAUGACGGCCCUACGGGUUGUAAACUGCUUUUAUACGGGAAUAAAGUGCGUCACGUGUGGGGUUUUGUAUGUACCGUAUGAAUAAGGACCGGCUAAUUCCGUGCCAGCAGCCGCGGUAAUACGGAAGGUCCGGGCGUUAUCCGGAUUUAUUGGGUUUAAAGGGAGCGUAGGCCGCAUGUUAAGCGUGCUGUGAAAUGUCCGGGCUCAACCCGAGACUUGCAGCGCGAACUGGCGUGCUUGAGUCCGCGGAAAGCAGGCGGAAUUCGUCGUGUAGCGGUGAAAUGCUUAGAUAUCACGAAGAACCCCGAUUGCGAAGGCAGCUUGCUGCAGCGCAACUGACGCUGAUGCUCGAAAGCGCGGGUAUCGAACAGGAUUAGAUACCCGGGUAGUC
rnacentral:rRNA from 1 species